UAUAAGGUGUGUGCAUAACUGCUAAGAAAACCAUUCCCAGAGAUUAGUUAUCAGUGGCUUGCAGUCAACCUGGAAGGGCAUAUUGAGGGGGGUCUUGCAGGGAUUAGUUCUGGGUCUGGUUCUAUUCAAUAUCUUCAUCAACGAUUUAGAUAAUGGCACAGAGAGUACACUUAUAAAGUUUUCAGAUUAUAUCAAGCUGGGAGGGAUUGCAAGUGCUUUGGAGCAGGGUUCUCAACCUUUUCCUUCGAGACCCCCCCCCACACACACACACAACAUGCUAUAAAAACUCCACAGCCCACCUGUACCAGCACAACUGUUUUUCUGCAUAUAAAAGGUCAGAUAUUAGGGGAAAUUAUUUCACUAGGAGGGUGGUGAAGCACUGGAAUGAGUUACCUAGGGAGGUGGUGGAAUUUCCAUCCUUAGAGGUUUUUAAGGUUAGGCUUCACAAAGCCCUGGCUGAGAUGAUUUAGUUGGGGUUGAUCCUACUUUGAGCAGGGGGUUGGAUUAGAUGACCUUCUGAGAUCUCUUUCAACCCUAAUCUUCUAUGAUUCUAAAAGCCAGGACUGGCAUUAGGGGAAAGCAAACAGAGCAAUUGCAUGAGGCACCAAACCACGAGGUACCCCACAAAGCUAAACUGCUCAGGCUUUCGCUUCAGCCCCAGGUGGUGGAGCUCAGGGCACUGUGGGCUUUCUGCUCUGGGCCCCAAUGAGUCUAAUGCCAGCCCUGUUUGGCGGACCCCCUGAAACCUGCUUGCAGCCCCCCCAGGGGCCCUCGGACCUCUGGUUGAGAACUGCUGCUUUGGAUGGUAGGAUUAAAAUUCAAAAUGAUCUGGACAAAUUGGAGAAAUGGUCUGAAGUAAAUAGUAUGAAAUGCAAAGUAGUCCACUUAGGAGAGAACAAAUCAGUUGCACACAUACAAAAUGAAUGCCUUGGGAGGAGUACUUCAAAAAGGUAUCUGGGUUCAUAGUGGAUCACAAGCUAAAUAUGAGUGAACAGUGUAACACUGUUGCACAAAAAGCAAACAUUCUGGGAUGUAUUAGCAGGAGUGUUGUAAGCAAGACACAAGAAGUAAUUCUUCAGGUCUACUGCAUGCUAAUUAGACUUCACCUGGAGUAUUGUGUCCAGUUCUGGGUGCCACAUUUCAAGAAAGAUAUGGAGCAACAGAAAUGAUUAGAGGUCUAGAAAACAUGACCUAUAAGAGAAGAUUGGAAAAAAUGGGUUUAUUUAGUUUGCAGAAGACUGAGGUGGGACAUAACAGUUUUCAAGUACAUAAAAGGUUGUUACAAGGAGGAGGGAGAAAAAUUGUUCUCCUUAACCUGUAAGGAUAGGAAAAUAAACAAUGGAUUUAAAUUGCAGCAAGAGUGGUUUAGGUGAUCAUUAGGAAAAACUUCCUGUAAGGGUGGUUAAGCACUGAAAUUGCCCAGGGAGGUUGUGGAAUUUCCAUCAUUGGAGAUUUUUAAGAGCAGGUUAGAGAAACACCUGUUAGGGAUGCGCUAAAUAAUUCCUAGUCCUGCCUUGAGUGCAGGGGACUGGACUAGAUGACUUCUUGAGGUCUCUUCCAGUCCUACAGUUCUAUGAUUCUAUGACCAGGCCCUGAAGCCUGACAGAGGAGACUAGGGUAGAUGGGGUCUUCUAUUCACAGGCCCUCUCUGAUCUAGGAGCCUCAUUAUAGAAUAGAUAUGUUGAGCUGGAAGGAACCUGGAGAAGUCAUCAAGUCCAGCACCCUGAGCUGAGGCAGGACCAAGUAAACCUAGGCCAUCCCUGACAGGUGUUUAUCCCACCUGUUCUUAAAAAUCUCCAUGAUGGGGAUUCCACAACCUCCCCUGGAAGCCUAUUCCAAAGCUGAACUACUUCUAUAGUUGGAUAGUUUUUCCUAAUAUCUUAUCUAAAUUUCCCUUGCUGCAGUUUAAGUCCAUUAUGUCUUGUCCUACCUUUAGUGGACAUGGAGAACAAUUGAUCGCUGUCCUCUUUAUAACAGCCCUUAAUGUAUUUGAAGACUGUUAUCUGGUCCACCCUCAGUCUUCUUUUCUCAAGAGUACAUGUGCCCAGUAUUUUUAGCCUUCCUUUGUAGGUCAGAUUUUCUAAACUUUUUAUCAUUUUUGUUCUCUGGACUCUCUCCAGCUUGUCCACAUCUUUCCUAAAUGUGGCACCAACUGUAACUGAUGCAAUGCUAUUGGCCUGAACUUGCAAAAUGUCUGAAACAAUAGCUGUGAAGUGUCCCAUUCAUUUCAGUGGGUGCUCACUAAGAGGAUACUACUUCAAAGUUACCAUUAUUAACUAUUGUACUGCUUGUUACAGUAGGUAAGAAAGAAGAGAAUAUAAGGGCAGCUGUCAUAAACAGAUAGUUAAGGGUUACUAGAACAGGAGUACUUCAUGUCUCUUUUGACUGUAAAGGGUUAACAAGUUCAGUAAGCCUGGCUGUCACCUGACCAGAGGACCAAUCAGGGGACAGGAUACUUUCAAAUCUUGAGGGAGGGAAGAUUUUGUGUGUGCUGUCAGUUUUUGGUGGUUGUUCACUCUGGCGUCUCAGAGGGACCAGAUAUGAAACCAGGUUUCUCUCCAAUCUCUUUGAUACAGUCUCUUAUAUGUCCAGAAUAGUGAGUACUAGGUAGAUAAGGCGAGUUAGGCUUAUGUUUGUUUUCUUUAUUUGCAAAUGUGUAUUUGGCUGGAAGGAGUUCAAAUUUGUAUUUUGCUGAAAGGAUUUUACUUGUACUUGUGUACUUAGGCUGGGAGGGUAUUCCCAGUGUCUAUAGCUGAAAGACCCUGUAACAUAUUCCAUCUUAAAUUUACAAAGAUAAUUUUUUACUGUUUUUUCUUUCUUUAAUUAAAAGCUUUUCUUGUUUAAGAA